rnacentral:rRNA from 1 species
AUCAACGCUGGCGGCGUGCCUAACACAUGCAAGUCGAACGCGAAAGCCCCUUUCGGGGUAAGUAGAGUGGCGUCCGGGUGAGUAACACGUAGGUAAUCUACCUUCGGGUGGGAAUAACUCGCCGAAAGGCGAGCUAAUACCGCAUAAUGCAGCGGCACCUAAUGGUGAUUAGUUGUUAAAGCGGGGGAUCGUAAGACCUCGCGCCUGAAGAGGAGCCUGCGGCAGAUUAGCUAGNGGUGAGGUAAUGGCUCACCAAGGCUUCGAUCUGUAGCUGGUCUGAGAGGACGGCCAGCCACACUGGCACUGACACACGGGCCAGACUCCUACGGGAGGCAGCAGUGGGGAAUUUUGGGCAAUGGGCGCAAGCCUGACCCAGCAACGCCGCGUGAGGGAGGAAAUCC